GUAGGUGGCAAGCGUUGUCCGGAAUUAUUGGGCGUAAAGCGCGCGCAGGCGGUUCUUUAAGUCUGAUGUGAAAGCCCACGGCUCAACCGUGGAGGGUCAUUGGAAACUGGAGAACUUGAGUACAGAAGAGGAAAGCGGAAUUCCACGUGUAGCGGUGAAAUGCGUAGAGAUGUGGAGGAACACCAGUGGCGAAGGCGGCUUUCUGGUCUGUAACUGACGCUGAGGCGCGAAAGCGUGGGGAGCAAACAGGAUUAGAUACCCUGGUAGUCCACGCCGUAAACGGUGAGUGCUAAGUGUUAGGGGGGUUUCCGCCCCCUUAGUGCUGCAGCUAACGCAUUAAGCACUCCGCCUGGGGAGUACGGCCGCAAGGCUG
rnacentral:rRNA from 1 species